rnacentral:rRNA from 1 species
GACGAACGCUGGCGGCGUGCUUAACACAUGCAAGUCGAGCGGAAAGGCCUCAGCUUGCUGGGGUACUCGAGUGGCGAACGGGUGAGUAAAACGUGUGUGAUCUGCCUUGCUAUCUGGGAUAAGCUUUGGAAACUGGGUCUAAUACCGGAUAUGAACUGCCUUUCGUGUGGGUGUUGGAAAGUUUUUUCGGUGCAAGAUGAGCUCGCGGCCUAUCAGCUUGUUGGUGGGGUAAUGGCCUACGAAGGCGUCGACGGGUAGCCGGCCUGAGAGGGUGUACGGCCACAUUGGGACUGAGAUACGGCCCAGACUCCUACGGGAGGCAGCAGUGGGGAAUAUUGCACAAUGGGCGGAAGCCUGAUGCAGCGACGCCGCGUGCGUGAUGACGGCCUUCGGGUUGUAAACACCUUUCGACAGGGACGAAGCUUUUUGGGACGUUACCUGUAUAAGAAGCACCGCCUAACUACGU